ACCUACGGGAGGCAGCAGUGGGGGAUAUUGCACAAUGGGGGAAACCCUGAUGCAGCGACGCCGCGUGAGUGAAGAAGUAUUUCGGUAUGUAAAGCUCUAUCGGCAGGGAAGAAAAUGACGGUACCUGACUAAGAAGCCCCGGCUAAAUACGUGCCAGCAGCCGCGGUAAUACGUAUGGGGCAAGCGUUAUCCGGAUUUACUGGGUGUAAAGGGAGCGUAGGCGGCCUGGCAAGCCUUAUGUGAAAUACCGGGGCCCAACCCCGGGGCUGCAUUGGGAACUGCC
rnacentral:rRNA from 1 species